AACACGUGGACAACUACCCUCCGGACGGGUAUAAACCCGGGAAACUGGGUAUAAUCCCCGAUAGAUCUCGGUCGCUGGAAUGCCCGAGAUCGAAAGCUCCGGCGCCAGAGGAUGGGUCUGCGGCCUAUCAGGUAGUAGUGGGUGUAGCGUACCUACUAGCCUACGACGGGUACGGGUUGUGAGAGCAAGAGCCCGGAGAUGGAUUCUGAGACACGAAUCCAGGCCCUACGGGGCGCAGCAGGCGCGAAAACUUACAAUGCGAGAAAUCGUGAUAAGGGAACCCCGAGUGCCCGUAAAUUCGGGCUGUCCGCCAGUGUAAAUAACUGGUGAAGAAAGGGCCGGGCAAGACCGGUGCCAGCCGCCGCGGUAAUACCGGCGGCUCGAGUGGUGGCCACUAUUACUGGGAUUAAAGCGUCCGUAGCUGGAUUGUUAAGUCUCUUGGGAAAUCCACCGGCUCAACCGAUGGGCGUUCAGGAGAAACUGGCAAUCUAGGGACCGGGCGAGGUGAGAGGUACUC
rnacentral:rRNA from 1 species